AGCCACCUUGGAAGACAGUUUGCCAGUUUCUCACAAAAGGAAACAAAUUCUUGCCACAUGAUUCAGCGAUCAUGCUUCUUGGUAUUUGCCCAGAAGAGUUGAAAAUUUUAUGUCCACAAAACAACCUGCACAUGGAUGUUUCUAGCAGCUUUAUUCAUAAUUGCCAACACUUGAAAGCAACCAAGAUGUCCUUCAGUCAGUGAAUGGAUAAACUGUGGUCCAUCCAGACAAUGGAAUAUUAUUCAGCACUAAAAAGAUGUGAGCUCUCAAGCCAUGAAAAGACAUGGAAGAACCUUAAAUGCAUAUUACUAAGUAAAGGAAGCCAAUCUGCAAAGAGAAAUCAAAGAUGUCGAGAGAGUAGAAAAGAUCAUUCAGCACAAACGAAAGAUGGCACACCAAGGGAAAUGAAAAUGAAAACAUUAAUGCCUCGGAAAUAAUAGUUCUUUGGGAGCAGAAAGAAAAAACGCCAGCCUCCUAUCCAUGUCCCAUUCAAUGAGAAAGAAGGCAGCUACUAAAUCUCCCCUUGGAUUCCCAUUUUGUACGUGCAGUGAGAGUGCUACCCAAAGGCAUCUAAGAAGAGAACGUGUGUAAUAAUGAUUUCUUCAGGAUUCCAGGGCUCUGGAGGGUAUGCCUAAGAACUUAUUAACUAUUUAUACUUACCAACUCAUAAAUCUAAAUGAUUAAUAUCAGCA